UGGGGAAUUUUGGACAAUGGGGGAAACCCUGAUCCAGCCAUCCCGCGUGUGCGAUGAAGGCCUUCGGGUUGUAAAGCACUUUUGGCAGGAAAGAAACGUCAUGGGUUAAUACCCCGUGAAACUGACGGUACCUGCAGAAUAAGCACCGGCUAACUACGUGCCAGCAGCCGCGGUAAUACGUAGGGUGCAAGCGUUAAUCGGAGUUACUGGGCGUAAAGCGUGCGCAGGCGGUUCGGAAAGAAAGAUGUGAAAUCCCAGAGCUAAACUUUGGAACUGCAUUUUUAACUACCGGGCUAGAGUGUGUCAGAGGGAGGUGGAAUUCCGCGUGUAGCAGUGAAAUGCGUAGAUAUGCGGAGGAACACCGAUGGCGAAGGCAGCCUCCUGGGAUAACACUGACGCUCAUGCACGAAAGCGUGGGGAGCAAACAGG
rnacentral:rRNA from 1 species